rnacentral:rRNA from 1 species
UGGGGAAUAUUGGACAAUGGGCGCAAGCCUGAUCCAGCAAUGCCGCGUGAGUGAUGAAGGCCCUAGGGUUGUAAAGCUCUUUCGCACGCGACGAUGAUGACGGUAGCGUGAGAAGAAGCCCCGGCUAACUUCGUGCCAGCAGCCGCGGUAAUACGAAGGGGGCUAGCGUUGUUCGGAAUUACUGGGCGUAAAGGGCGCGUAGGCGGCCUGUUUAGUCAGAAGUGAAAGCCCCGGGCUCAACCUGGGAAUAGCUUUUGAUACUGGCAGGCUUGAGUUCCGGAGAGGAUGGUGGAAUUCCCAGUGUAGAGGUGAAAUUCGUAGAUAUUGGGAAGAACACCGGUGGCGAAGGCGGCCAUCUGGACGGACACUGACGCUGAGGCGCGAAAGCGUGGGGAGCAAACAGAUUAGAUACCCUGGUAGUCCACGCCGUAAACGAUGAAUGCUAGACGUCGGGGUGCAUGCACUUCGGUGUCGCCGCUAACGCAUUAAGCAUUCCGCCUGGGGAGUACGGCCGCAAGGUUAAAACUCAAAUGAAUUGAC